AGAGUUUGAUCCUGGCUCAGGAUGAACGCUAGCGACAGGCUUAACACAUGCAAGUCGAGGGGCAGCGAGGGAGUGGCAACACUUCUGUCGGCGACCGGCGCACGGGUGAGUAACGCGUAUGCAACCUGCCCUUCACAGGGGGAUAACCGGGAGAAAUUCCGACUAAUACCGCAUACGUCCACAGGGGGCAUCCCCUGGGGAUGAAAGAAUUAUCGGUGAAGGAUGGGCAUGCGUGAUAUUAGGUAGUUGGCGGGGCAACGGCCCACCAAGCCUACGAUAUCUAGGGGUUCUGAGAGGAAGGUCCCCCACAUUGGUACUGAGACACGGACCAAACUCCUACGGGAGGCAGCAGUGAGGAAUAUUGGUCAAUGGACGAGAGUCUGAACCAGCCAAGUCGCGUGAAGGAAGACGGAUCUAUGGUUUGUAAACUUCUUUAGUGCGGGAACAAAGCGGCGUCGAGACGCCGGAUGAGUGUACCGCAAGAAUAAGCAUCGGCUAACUCCGUGCCAGCAGCCGCGGUAAUACGGAGGAUGCGAGCGUUAUCCGGAUUUAUUGGGUUUAAAGGGAGCGCAGGCUGCGAGGCAAGUCAGCGGUCAAAUGUCGGGGCUCAACCCCGGCCUGCCGUUGAAACUGUCCUGCUAGAGUUCGAGUGAGGUAUGCGGAAUGCGUUGUGUAGCGGUGAAAUGCAUAGAUAUGACGCAGAACUCCGAUUGCGAAGGCAGCAUACCAACUCGCGACUGACGCUGAGGCUCGAAAGCGUGGGUAUCGAACAGGAUUAGAUACCCUGGUAGUCCACGCAGUAAACGAUGAAUACUAACUGUUCGGAGGGCGACCUCUGAGUGGUAAAGCGAAAGCGUUAAGUAUUCCACCUGGGGAGUACGCCGGCAACGGUGAAACU
rnacentral:rRNA from 1 species